CAGAUGAUGGUUAGCAUUUUUUUAGCAAUAAUGGGUUUUUUAAUUAAGGUAUAUGCAUUGUGUUUUAGACAUAGUGCUAUUGCACACUUAACAGACUGCAGUAUAAUGUAAAUAUAACUUAUAUUAUGCACUGGGAAACAAAAAGAAUUCAUUUGACUUGCUUUAUUGCAAUAUUUGCAUUAUUGCAGGGCUCUGGAACAGAACCUGCAGUAUCCCGAGCACUCUAUAUAGAUUCCAUCUUACACAGGAAGCUGUAUUUGAAGUCCUGAGUCUGGGUUAGAUACCACUCUGGUAUCCUUCCAUACUCUAGUCUCAAAUUGGAAACAUCUGCAUCCUCUCCAAGACUGAUGAUCAGAGGCCUCAUAAAAGAUCAAUAUCUGGAAUGGUUUUGGCAGACAAUUUUUAAAACCAAGUAGGAACAGUGAAAGCCCUGUCGGCUUGUGUCUGCUGCUCUCCUGCUGCUCCAUCAGGAUGCCGCCAGGAGAAAGAUCUCCAGCAUCCUCCGGUCCUAGUUUUUAAAAUACUUUUCAGUCCUCAGUGUAUAUUCAAGUGUAUCUUUUCUUUGCUACCAUAUAAUCACUCAACUUCUGCAAGUUAAUUCUCUAAGCAAGAUGACUUCUUAAAGGCAAAUUAAAGCUCAACAGAAUUAAUGUUGCUCAUCUUACCUACUCAAGAAAUGAUUAAAUGUAGCCUGACCCUUCUCCUGUGGUAAAAUUUAAUAUCCUUAGCUGCACUAUAAAUAAGGGGUACAUUAAUCCUAAGUUAUCACUGCUUCAUAUACACAGAGUUAUACAUUUGGGUUAAUCGGUAGGUAUGUACCACAACUGCUUUCUCUUUAUUCUCAGGCAAAGGACAAAUAUGUUAGUUUGCACAGGUUAAAUGAUGUGGACCUUGCAUUACUGUUCCCAAGCCUUUAUCAUCAUACACAUUUUAGCAAAAAGUAAAUGAUUCUCAGUUUUUUGACUGACUGAUAAAUAGGGUCUUUGAAAGCCAAACAACUGUCUCUUCAUGAUGUGUUGAAUGAUUUGAUGUUCCUGCUACUUUUUUCUUUUAGAUUUGCUUUCAUAUAGUUGAGAUAGUGAUGGAACCAGGCAGAUGAACCUGAGACAUUAUACAUGAGAGAACAAUCUGGCUCCAGACACCAGGCCACACUAGCCUUCAUCUCCCAGCAUCACCAUCACCUCACCCUUAUUUUGCUUUCAUCAUUCAAUGCUGUUCAGUUUGCACAACUACAACAUACACCACGUGGAUCUUAUAUUUCUUAAUACCUUUUCCCAAGGUUAAAUUUUAUUUGCCAAUUGGAUCUCCACCCUUUUCAUUUCUACUAUCUUUUCUACCAUCACUUUGAUUUCCUAAAAAUUUUUGACAUUUAAUGUUUAAUCUCUUUCAACUUCUUUUUUUCUUUCCAUUCAAAGAGCUUUGGGUGUUCUGUCCUUUACAUCACUGAGUUGAGAAGUCUGUGCCUUACUAUAUAUCCAUGGAAAUAUAAGCCAGCAAUUUAUUUGUACUGGAGUCUGUGCUUAUUGAGGCUUAAUCCAUUUUCACUUCAGCUUGCCCUGCAGUCUACAUUCUCAUUUUGCUAAGAAGCAGUAUAAAACCAGUUUUAAGUGCUUUAGACUUCUGGGACUGAGUGCCAAAAUUUCAAUUCCACCUAUGCUACUUACAGUAUUUUUACUCUUGGCCAAAUUAUUAAAUUAAGUCUCAGUUUUCUCACCUUUAAAAUGGGGACACUAGUCAUAAUUAUCCAAGAGUUACUAUAAAAAUUAAGUGAUACUGUGCAUCUUUCAUACUUAGCACAACACCCAACAUGUAAAAUUAAUUAAAAAAAAAUAAAGACCAUCAUGAAUAUAAAUAAGUCCCCAUGCUCAGCUCACGGAGGAAAUAUCUUUUUAAAACUCACCAUAAAAAUAAAAUGGACAUUUUCUAAAAUGUUCUGCCAUUUCCUAUAAUGAAUAACUGUGAGCUUUGCAAAUUUUUUAGGUCUUUUAAGUUACCACUCUCCUCUUUGCUAUGUCUACAUUGUCCUUCUGUCCUCUCACCCUUAAAUGAUAAAUGAAUCUUUUGAGACUGUGAGAUAACUAUAAUUAUUUUUCUCUAGCUAUAGAAAAAUCCAUACCUGUCCACUCUUCACAGAACUGUUAAAAGAUUUCAUCUCAUUUAUGUGUACAAGUUCAUUUCUUUAGGAAGUUAGGAGAGAAACUCUGAAGAACUCACUAUUAGCCUACCUGAUUAAGAAUCUUAGUAUUCUUUUAUACAUGUGUGUGUGUAUGUAUAAAUAAAUAUGUUUCCAUUACACUGAAGUCAUAGGAAACUAUUUUCAUCUUUCUAAUAAGCUACAUCAGAGAAAGCAAAUCAGUUUGUCAAAACUGUAAUGACAUUAUAAAAUCUUCCUUUGAUAUUAUAUAUUGGGUUUAGUCUUAUUUUGUAUUUUGCUACUUCAUUCAGCCGAUAUGUAUCAAGUUCCUCAGAGAACAUGAAGUCAGUAUUUUGUAUUAUUUUAUACAAUUGGGCAUCUGUUUAUCUUUUGUCUGUCAAAAAAUCUUCUAUAAUAACACCAUAAAGAUUAAAGUCCCAUGAAAUUUACAGAAAUUACUAAAAUAUUCACAUAGCUAUUAUAUCAAAAUAGUUAAAUUUCAGAAAAUUAGGCCACAUGAAAACAAAAGAAUGCAAGCACUCUGAGAAGAGAAACUAUGAACAAAAAUUAUUAAUUUGUUUCUAAAGAAGGAAUGAAUUUUAGUUAUACAGUAAUUAUGAAGCAAAUCAUUUGGUACAUGUAUCAAUUUAUGUACUGUGCUAUAAAUUGCCUUCCUUAUGGGAAUAAAAGCCAGGCAACAAAGAAUAUGUAUGACCCAGUGAGCAAAGCAAAAAACUAUUAGUUUUGCUGUCAAAUGAGGUUGACAGGACUUUUUCAAGGCAGAUUACACUGAACUAUCACUGUUUCUAUCACAUUUCUUUUAUAUUUGCCACUUAAUGUAAAGAGAAAAGGCUUCUCCUGCUGGUGAAUCGUCACACUGGAGUCUGCGGUUGUGUCUCUGAACUAUUGUGAAACAUGCCUUGAAUGUUCUUGGAAAGUCAUAAAACAUGAUCAGUGUAGGAGGUAGUUUACAAAUUACACUUACUAUUAAUCAACUCAGAUAUGAGUCAUAUUAAAAUGAAUUUAGAGGUUUCUUGUUUAUCUUCUUGCCUACAACUAAGCAACUCCAUGAAAAUCUUAGGAAAAUCUCUGGUAUUUAAGAAGUCAACCUGCUAGCUCCCUUAUUAAGGUCUUAAUAAAAGUCCAUCCAAUAGUGUCUUAAUCUAAAACAUGACUUAAAACAGUUUCUUUGAGGCAAUUCUGUUCAUUUUCAUUAAUACGAACAAACUCAGUGUACCAAUUGAUGAUACAUGUUGGACAUUUUCUAUUUGAUCAGAUGAUUAAUGACAGCUGAUCAUCAGGAUAUAUAUCUUUAACUAUGGAAUAAACUAAAAAAUGUAAGACGAUUAUGAAUGGAAUUGCAUUCACCCUAAAAUCAAUCACUAAUGUGGAGUUUCCAUCUCUUAUCCUGACCUUUUUCUAUAUAUGCCUAAGACACCUUCGCAAAGACUGCAUCUUCUCUCAGAUCCACUGAAUCAAAUGGGUAUGAACUUUGACUUAAACAAAUGAAAAAAAACUUAGAGCUUCAAAAAUAAUCUUUUACAAAUUGUACACUGCAUAUUGUUUCUUUAACACUGAAACAGGCUGAUAAAAAUCCAAAUGUUUUCAUUUCUUCAGUUUUUUUUCUAUUGUGAGAAAGAUUGAACAUUAAUUAUUAAUUAGAUAACUGGAGGCUAAAUCUACUUUCACUUAAUGAUAUCUACUUUUGGGGUCUUAAUUUAUGUCCAUUGCAUGACGUGGUUGGUUUGAUCUGUACUUUGAUAUUUUGAUUGAAAACAGGACUUCAGGAGGUGAGUUGUUAUACUGGGUACAUUUGGCAUGGGGUAUCCUUUUUUUGGGAAAAAUCAGAGGGAUUUUUAAGAUAAUAUUGUUCUGUUCAAAAUAUAAAAUAGAGAUGUGGUUCAUAUUUUUAGAGAAAAGCCAAGUUCUAGGUACCUGUAAGGCCAGAGGUCUUCAUAUAUUUUGAUGGUUCUCUUUCCAUGCUCUUUGGAAAUCAAGGGAAGUUUACUUCAAAUUUGUAAUCUUAAAUAGGGUGUGGGCACGUUGUCUAAAGUCAGAGAUAAAGUGAUACUCGUGCCCAGGAUUUCCUUAAUCAAGGUCAGUCAAUGAGGAUCAAAGCAGGUUCUCCCUCCCUCCCUUUCUUCCUCCCCUCCCCACACUCCAGCAUAAACCAUACCUUUUAUGAAUGGGCUUGAGCCUUCAUAUAGGUUAAUAAAAUGUCAAUUUAAAAGUAGCUAUACUUUCUUUAUCUCCAAAUAUCUCCAAUUAAAAGGCUUUCUCAUAAUCAUGUAGUAGCUUUUCCUUAAACCAUAGUAAAGUUUAUCACUAAUAAUCCCCUGUAAGGCUCUAGCAUUUUUAGAAUUUCCCUGAAGUUUUUAUGAGUGACUCAAAUGCCAUCAAGAGAACAUAAUGCAUCAUAUCUAUUUUAAACUUCCUUGGAUCCUCCUGCUGAUGAAUGUUCAUAAUUCGAGGCAAAGUUAAUGGAAGGAUGAAACUCCCCUUGAGAAGAGAAUAAAGGUUGGGGAGCUAUCUGAACACAAAUUGUGUGGUGCUUCCAUGCAAGCAAGCCUAGAGUACACUACGGGGCAUCAGAGCUGUAUUUGUCAUUUGUCAUUCCAAAAACACCGGCAGUAUCCAUGGCGGCUCUGAGGGGAAAUAAAUUAUUACUUUGCCAAAGUUUGAUUACCACUUGAAAUGAUAUUCUAAUAAUCACCUACGAGUACUGAAGGAAAAAGCAAGCAGAGAACAAGGUAAAAAUGAAAGAAUUGUCUUUUAAAAAUAAUUUCUGACGUGUCUUAUGCCUCAAAUAAUACCUACCCAAGAGCAAUAAUACAUUAACAUACGAGUAAAAUUUUAUAGUAAGAGAGCAUUCCUAAUAUUUCAUGGUUUACUUAUUAGUUAGAAGUUAUUUUUCUCUUAUUCAUUGCCACUAAAUAGAGUAACAUUACAUUUCAGAUUCCUUAACUAUGAAAUAGGGAUAAUAAUAGCACCUUUCUAACUAGUGUGUUACGAAGAUUAAGUGAUUUAAUACAUGCAAAAUAAUUAGGAUGGUCCCUGACAUAUUAACCACAUGGAGAAAAAAAUAUUACUAUCUGCCGUGAUCAUAAGGAUCCAAUUCUCUCUUCUUUCCAGAUAGUAUAGGACUGUACUUCCCCAUCCCCUUGACAUAGGGUGAUCUGAUUUGGAGGUGGGAAAGAAGCACCUAUUAUAAAUUCCAGGAUUAUUCUUGGAUGUCAGGUGGAUUAUAGAACUUCUGAAGAAGGAGCUGGGGAAAUGACAAAUUGUUUUGGACACAAUGCGUCUGAGCUGACUAUGGACAACCAGCUGGGCGUGUCUAUCAGCCACUGGACCACAAAGUACGGGGCUGGAGGCGGGGCUGGAGUCACCAGUUGAUAUGCGACUGUUGGAAUCAUGGGGCUUAAAGGAACCAUCCAGGAAGGAUUUAUAGAGACAUUCUGAAGAAUAAUGUGUGGAGAUCAAAGUCUGAAGAAAGGUAAUCUAAGGAAGGAUGAAAAAGAAGAGUGAGAGGUCUGAGGGCUUCUGGCACAGCCAAAGGCAGGGAGAACAUUGGAAGAAAGUGAGGUCACAGAAGUCAUUACAGAAAAUAAAGCUUUAAAACUCCCAUAGCCGUGGCAAGCACUCAAGUUACUACCCAGGAAAAUAGUACCUUUCAAUGAAUAUGCAUACUAUCCAAUUUAUUCCUGCAAAGCCUCUAUUUCUUAAAUUCAUCCAUAAGAACACAGACAAGUUUGAAUUUGUUGCUAUUUAGUACAUCAGCCCCUGGCUGGAUUACAAUUCCAACCUGUUUCUGGUUGUAGAGACAGACCGCAACACAAGUAAGAGGGUUAAGAAAGAGACUGAUGGUACAGGUUUUGCUACAAACAUUUUAAAAUUGGAUGAGUGAAGUUCUCAGAUUUCUCAUCUGCUACCUAAAGAGGCUGAAUUAUUUUGUGCUGAAUGAGUCCAGGUGCAAUUUUUCAUCUCUAUGACUCUUAACUGUGAAGACGAUAUGACUGAUGUGGGUGCAACCAUGGGUUGUCCAUGUGUGGAGGCACUGGAUGUCCCUUCUCUUAGGUACCAGUCAAAUCAGUCACCUCAACUGUCAGGAAUAUGGCAAACAAAUGCAUAAACUGUGCAUUUAUGAUGACUUUUUAAACUAACCUAUAACUUCUGUUUUGUUGCCUGAAACCUAUUUCAUUAGCCUUGAGUUUAGUCUUUUACUCAAAUAAAAUGGAAUAUGUUAUUUUCGACACUGAUAUUCUCUCUUCCUCUCUCUCUCUCUCUCUCUGUAUAUAAUAGAUAUAGAUAUAGAUAUAGAUAGAUACACGUAUGAACUUUAAGAGGUUUUUCUUUUGGAGUCAAUGCUCUUUAAUCUAACGUAAAGGGAGUAAAGGAUACAGGGGAGGAUAAAAUACAGAUCCCUGAUUUCUGCUAAAACCCUCAACAAACUUUCCAAACCUGUUCAUUUAAGUCCAACAGUAAAGUGAAAGCACACUUGAAUUGGCUUGGAUUUGGUUAUUAUGAAAUUUGGGAUCUGGCUAUUAAAACCACUGGUGGCUUGAAAUCAGCCACUGUGGCAUGUUUACACCUGAGCAAAUGGCAAACACUGGACACUAGAGCUUUCUUUCCUGUUUUGGAGGUGGGGCGGCUGGGUUUCACAGCGCACCAAAGCUUCUAACACCAGGGUGGCCUACAGUUCCACAGCCAGUGGCUUUAUCCUCAUGAGCUGUUGGUAAGGACUUUCCCAGUGAUGGUAACAAGCUUCUCCUGUGGACUGCGGGCUGUGAAGCUGAUUCUCAUUUUAUAUGUAAACCUGGUGUUUGGAUGAGUGCUGUUUAGUCAUGCAAGCCAACACUUACUGGGAGAAUAAGAGAGAAAAACUGAAACAAGAUCUUUUUUCUUUUUCUCUAUGAAAACACAGCUCCCUGGAUUGACCUGCCUUUCGCUCAACAGUCCCAGGCAGAAGAAAGUACCUGAAAACCCAGUUUUCCCACAUUAAUGCUUAUAAUCAUGACUGAAAUGGUUUGCUUCUGGUUUUUAAUAAAUGAUAGUCUCAUCUCCUACUGCUGUUUUCUCUGGUAGAUGCUGCCACGAGUAGCAAGUAAUGUCCACUAAUUCUCAAAUGGACAAGCACAAAUGACUGAGUUCUAGUUCUGACUUGCCAGUGAGUCCCCAUGUAAUGCUGAGAACAGAUGUUAAGUUCCUAGUUUAAGCUUUAAACCCAGUACAUUCAAGUCAUUUUCCAGAGAUUAAAAAUUGUAUUGCCAUUUGCGACAUGGAUGGACCUUGAGGGCAUUAUGCUACUUGAAAUAAUUUAGAGAAGGACAAAUACCAUAUGAACUCACUUAUAAGGGAAAACAAGAAAAACAGCUCAUAGAUACAGAGAACAGACUGGGGUUGCCAAAGGUAGAGGUGGUAGGGGUAGGCAAAAUGGGCUAAAGGGGUCAAAACAUACAAACUUCUAAUUUGAAAUAAGUAAGUCAUGGGAAUGUAAUGCACAGCAUGGUGACUACUGUUAAUAAUAUUGUAUUGCAUAUUUGAAAGUUAAUAAGAGAGUAAAUUGUAAAAGUCAGCUCAAGAAAAAUACUUUGUUUUGUAACUGUGUGGUGACAGAUGUUAAUUACACUUGUGUAGUUAUUUCAUAAUAUAUAUACAAA